AUUGAACGCUGGCGGCAGGCUUAACACAUGCAAGUCGAGCGGGGAAGGUUGCUUCGGUAACUGACCUAGCGGCGGACGGGUGAGUAAUGCUUAGGAAUCUGCCAUUUAGUGGGGGACAACAUUCCGAAAGGAAUGCUAAUACCGCAUACGUCCUACGGGAGAAAGCAGGGGAUCUUCGGACCUUGCGCUAAAUGAUGAGCCUAAGUCGGAUUAGCUAGUUGGUGGGGUAAAGGCCUACCAAGGCGACGAUCUGUAGCGGGUCUGAGAGGAUGGUCCGCCACACUGGGACUGGGACACGGCCCAGACUCCUACGGGAGGCAGCAGUGGGGAAUAUUGGACAAUGGGCGGAAGCCUGAUCCAGCCAUGCCGCGUGUGUGAAGAAGGCCUUAUGGUUGUAAAGCACUUUAAGCGAGGAGGAGGCUACCUAGAUCAAUACUCUAGGGUAGUGGACGUUACUCGCAGAGUAAGCACCGGCUAACUCUGUGCCAGCCGCCGCAGUAAUAC
rnacentral:rRNA from 1 species